rnacentral:rRNA from 1 species
CAGUCGCCACGGUAAUACAGAGGGUGCAAGCGUUAAUCGGAAUUACUGGGCGUAAAGCGCGCGUAGGUGGUUUGUUAAGUUGGAUGUGAAAGCCCCGGGCUCAACCUGGGAACUGCAUCCAAAACUGGCAAGCUAGAGUACGGUAGAGGGUGGUGGAAUUUCCUGUGUAGCGGUGAAAUGCGUAGAUAUAGGAAGGAACACCAGUGGCGAAGGCGACCACCUGGACUGAUACUGACACUGAGGUGCGAAAGCGUGGGGAGCAAACAGGAUUAGAUACCCGUGUAGUCCCUGUCUCUUAUAC